rnacentral:rRNA from 1 species
GGUACUGGCGUGGAGGCAGUGGCGGGAAAACGUGGGGGUGGAGGUUGAUCGGGAGUUACUGGGGGUAAAGUGCGGGGGGGUGGUGGAGGAAGUUGGGUGUGAAAUCCGUUGGGUGAACGGGGGGGGAACGCACAAGAGUGCUCGGCGUGAGGUGGAGAGAGGGGGGCAGAAUUACCGGUGUAGUGGUGGAAUGCGGAGAUAUCGGGAGGAAUACCAGUGGCGAAAGCGGCGCCCGGGCUCGCACCUGACACUGAGGCGCGAAAGCGUGGGGAGCGAACGGGAUUAGAUACCCCUGUAGUC